AGUGAACGCUGGCGGUAGGCCUAACACAUGCAAGUCGAACGGCAGCACAGUAAGAGCUUGCUCUUACGGGUGGCGAGUGGCGGACGGGUGAGGAAUACAUCGGAAUCUACUUUUUCGUGGGGGAUAACGUAGGGAAACUUACGCUAAUACCGCAUACGACCUACGGGUGGAAGCAGGGGAUCUUCGGACCUUGCGCGAUUGAAUGAGCCGAUGUCGGAUUAGCUAGUUGGCGGGGUAAAGGCCCACCAAGGCGACGAUCCGUAGCUGGUCUGAGAGGAUGAUCAGCCACACUGGAACUGAGACACGGUCCAGACUCCUACGGGAGGCAGCAGUGGGGAAUAUUGGACAAUGGGCGCAAGCCUGAUCCAGCCAUACCGCGUGGGUGAAGAAGGCCUUCGGGCUGUAAAGCCCUUUUGUUGGGAAAGAAAGGCAGCAGGUUAAUACCCCGCUGUCCUGACGGUACCCAAAGAAUAAGCACCGGCUAACUUCGUG
rnacentral:rRNA from 1 species